rnacentral:rRNA from 1 species
AGAGUUUGAUCCUGGCUCAGGACGAACGUUGGCGGUGCGCUUAAUGCAUGCAAGUCGAGGGAGAACCAUUCGAUCCGUAAGGACCGGAUGGGGAAACCGGCGAACGGGUGCGUAACACGUGAGGAACCUGCCCCGAAGACCGGGAUAGCCCGAGGAAACUCGGAUUAAUACCGGAUACCCUCUUUGGACCACAUGGUCUGUUGAGGAAAUGGUCCGCCGCUUCGGGAUGGCCUCGCGGCCUAUCAGCUUGUUGGUGAGGUAACGGCUCACCAAGGCAAAGACGGGUAGCUGGUCUGAGAGGACGAUCAGCCACACUGGGACUGAGACACGGCCCAGACUCCUACGGGAGGCAGCAGCAGGGAAUAUUGCACAAUGGGCGAAAGCCUGAUGCAGCGACACCGCGUGCGGGAUGAAGGCCUUCGGGUUGUAAACCGCUUUCAGGAGGGACGAAAAUGACGGUACCUCCAGAAGAAGGCCCGGCCAACUACGUGCCAGCAGCCGCGGUAAUACGUAGGGGCCAAACGUUGUCCGGAUUUAUUGGGCGUAAAGGGCUCGUAGGCGGUUCAAAAAGUCGAUCGUGAAAACCCGGGGCUCAACCCCGGGACGCCGGUCGAAACUGUUGUGACUAGGGUCCGGUAGAGGUGAGUGG